CUUUACCGUCAGCGUGAUCAAUAACUACGCCCUGAACUUUAACAUUGCCAUGCCCCUGCACAUGAUCUUCAGAUCAGGAUCUUUAAUAGCAAACAUGAUCCUCGGUAUUAUCAUCUUGAAGAAAAGAUAUUCGGCGAGUAAAUAUCUCUCCAUCGCGCUGGUGUCUGUGGGCAUUUUCAUUUGCACUAUUAUGUCGGCCAA